CGUAGCUGCUCCUGCCCCCCCCCCCAGCGCAAUCUGCUGGUGGGUAGGUGGAUAGCAUUAUUCUCUUUUCUUUUUUGUGGAUGUUUUAUACCAUUUGUGAGCUUUCUAUGCUGGACAGACACGCUCUCCAUUUUCUCAGUAAAUGUAUGUGCAUAAAUAAGGAAUCAUUUUCUUUCGUUUGUUAAAUAAAGGCACAAUGUUCUAUCAACUCACCUGUCUCUAAAGUGGUAUAGUCCAGUCAAGGAAAAGGAGGGCAAAGGGAGUUAGUUACAUCUUUGAUUUGGCUGUGCGGCUGAUAAUUGAAACCUUGCAAGUGGGAAAAAAAGAAGAGAAGGUUAUAUUGAAAUUAAAGCUGAGGGUGGAGAGGAACCUUUGUAUGCCUCAGCUGAUAAGAGGGAGCACGGUGUGUGCGUUGUCUAAGAUUAGAGCCCUGGACAAAAGGGAACAGGGAGGGGACUCCGUCUAGCUGAUCCAGAAAGUUGAAAACAAACACCUGCCUACGGGAUAAAGCAGAAAGUAGUGCUGGUCCCCCCAGUCAAGCAGUGUCUCCUUCAAGUCGAGCUUGGGUCCAGGUCCCAUUCCUUGCUUCUUUGAGACUGGAUCGUUUGGCUGCCGUGCAGGGAUUGGGUCCACUAGGCCGAGUGUACUAGAAGAGGAACCUUUCCUGGAAGGAAGGUGAUUUUUGGAAAUGGCUUACUCCGAAGGAAGCUUCCAUAAAGCUUGAUGCCGGUUGCGUGUGCUUAAGGAGUAAAGAGGCUAUGUUCACACAGCAUGUCUGACCGGGCCAGGGCUGCAUUUGUACCCUGGGCUCGGUGAAAGCGAGAAGCUGGAAUCUGCCUUCCUAUCGCUGAGCUCCCCGGUGCCCUGACCUGCUUUCCAGAAUGACAGAGAAGAGGUCUUGGCCUCUGCUGUAUUUCUGCUCAAGCAACAAAGAAGUUGGUUUUUUCUGCAGCCUCGUCCUCUUCUGACUCAGUCUCUGCUAGCCAACAAAGCAGCUAUUCCAGGUACUCUUUACCAAGUCGAAUAUCCAUCAUGCUGUAUCUGUGACUGUUACUGAUUUCACCUAGGAAAGGAAUUGUCUGUUGGUCUUGUUAAAUUUCAGUCUGCCAUUUUCAGCUCCUUGCAUUGGGCUGUCAAAGGAAUUUUGAACUAUUUUGUUUCAUUUGCAGAUUUGACAAGCAUUUCCUCUACAAAUAAUAAAAAGGUUAAACUGUACAGGGCCCAGGAAUGAAUCUUCACUUGGUAUCUCCCUCUGGUUAAAUGAGGCUUAAUGAGAAAGUAUCAAUGAGCACUCUCUGAAUGCAACAUUUGAGCCAGCUGUAUGUCCGCUAGGUCAUGCGGUCAUGAUUUGCUGUUCCAAAUGUCAUGAGGUUCUUUGUGGAAGUUAAGGUACAACAUUCCUACAAUCCAGUAAGAUAGUUGCUUGAACAAAAAGCCAAAAACCAGAUAAAAUUUACUUUGGCUAGGGUUGCUUUUGACAAAUUAAUAAUUCUGUUAUUUUCAAGGUGAUUUCAGAUCAAUCUCUUGAACCAAGGUGCUCUAGAAUAAUUCCCGUUCUUGAUAUCGGACUGUCAUUUGCCAGAUCCUCAUUUGCUCUCCUCCAGCUGUCUGGCACUUCUCCAGUUCUCCAGAUUGUCUCAGAGAUAAUAUUAAAAGCUUUGGCCAGACCAACAAAGGGGUAUUCCCUGGUCAUGUUUCUAUUGAGCUUCAAUCUGCUCUCCAUAAUUUCAUGGUGGAACACGUACUUUUUAGUUGGAGGGACUGAACAAAAAGAGAAGUUGGGUAGCUCUGCCUUUCCGUGGCGGUUGUGUCUCACUGAUUCUUUUCCUAUGCCUCUAACCGCUUCUGCGUAGUAAGCCUACAAGCAACGGGACAUUUUAUCAGAUGCUUCUUCCGAGGCUCUGAAAAGACAGUCACGGCCGAGGUCCGGACUGGUCUGCAGGCUGUUACAGAACGAAUCCCUGAGAGUUUGGCACCCAGUUUGGAUGUGGCACGGAGCAGAGAAGGGAGAAUCAUCCAGCGGAAGGAAGAGUUGAAGGAGUUAAUGGGGUUACUUUUGUUCUCAAAGACUCCUUAACUUUUCAGGUUUAAAUUGCAGGAGUGGUUUGAAAAGAAGCCUGUAAAUAGGAGUUUGGAGUAUAUUAUGUUUUUCCUAUCAGAGUGCAAUGGACUGGUAACUACUUUGCCAGAAAGCAUAGCAAGGACUGGAAUUGAUUACCAGAAGGAUGAGCCUCUAAAAAGAAAUACCCAGGUGGUUAACAUUAAGUCCCAAAGAGCUGAAAGGAAAGCUAAGCCUGGUGACAAAGUAAAAGGGAAUAAAAUUACUAAAUGUAUAAAGAAAAGAAUCUAAAUCUUUUCAUCUACUAGAGACGGAUUCUAAAACGGGGAAUAAGAAUCCUGCCUUGAAAACAGAAAAAGAGAAAGCAAAGAGAAAGUUCUCUCUUAGAAUAUGAUUCUAAAAACAGAGUUUAGGGGAAAGUGUGAAAAACGUAUCCAAACUGCAAGACCUUAAUCACAAGCAGAAGUAGAAAUUGUGAGCCUCUCUAGAAGUUAGCAGGGACCUGCAGUUAACCAGGGUUAAUUAACAUCCCAAACUCAGAGGCCCACUUCAUCAAUUGGAACAUAAAUUGUGUGUUCUUUCUAUCAUAGAUUCAGUUCUGCUAGAUUUUAUUACGGAAGCAGAAUUGCAUUGCUUGCAAGUGACCUGGUGGCAUCCAGUGUUUUUGAAAAGGUGGUUCCCUCUCAUCG